GGGACUGUAGCUUAAUGGUAGAGUGCGCUGUUUUUCAUCUGGGUUUCCUUUUGGAAUGCGCGAUUUGCGGUUCGACUCCCAACGGUCCCA